AUUGAAAACUGCUUUCGUUUUCUCUGGCGCCCGCGGACGUGUGCAACUUUUCUUUACUAGAAAAUAAUUUGGUUAAAACCGAAUUUUACGAUUGAGUGUUAGAUGCGGUUGGUUAUACUUGAUUAAAGCAUUAAAUAAAGUACCUGGCUGAUUGGAAUUUCAUUAUAACUCGAGGAUAAAGGUCUGCUGUCUAUCACGAUGAGCUCUGAGGCCCGGUUUGUGGAUAAGAACUUUGCAGCGCUUAUUCAGAGGGUCACCUCAGUGAUGGCAAUAGUAGAUGAACUAAAAAAUAAGGGUAUGCUACAUGCUGAAACAUAUUCAGAGAUCCACGCAGAAAAAACCAACCAGGGCAAGAUGAGAAGGCUGUUUGAUGCACUAAAUUCUGGAGGAGACAGAGUAAAAAGUGACUUUUAUUAUGCUCUGAGAAAUCAUGAACUAUUCCUCUUCAGAGACCUGGGUGGUGAGACACUGGAUAACAUUGAUGGCACCAAGAACAAUGAGCUAGAGUUAAACUGAACACCCCCUGAAACCAAGAAACUGAAGCCUCCUGCGACCAAGACACGGAAAUAUAUAUAAAGAUGCGACCUGGAAAACUGAAAACCCAUGUGAUACAUUUUCCCCUGUGAAACGCAAAAGAAGGAAUUCAUCAGAAUGUGCAGGAUGUAUUCUACAACGUACAGGUUUUCAUUUUGUAGGUGAACAUUUUCAAGCCAUGAGCAUUUUUACACUGUUUUUUAUGCUAAAAUCUAAA